UACGAAGGGGGCUAGCGUUGCUCGGAAUCACUGGGCGUAAAGGGUGCGUAGGCGGGUCUUUAAGUCAGGGGUGAAAUCCUGGAGCUCAACUCCAGAACUGCCUUUGAUACUGAAGAUCUUGAGUUCGGGAGAGGUGAGUGGAACUGCGAGUGUAGAGGUGAAAAUUCGUAGAUAUUCGCAAGAACACCAGUGGCGAAGGCGGCUCACUGGCCCGAUACUGACGCUGAGGCACGAAAAGCGUGGGGAGC
rnacentral:rRNA from 1 species